CCGGCUUAAUUCUAACAUAAUUACCCUAAUAUAGCUGGCUCUUUGUGGUAUUUGAAUAUUCUCCAAGAAUUCUGGUGCAUUUACUGUUAUUGCUUCUGUAAACAUAGUAGCUAAAUAAUCCCACCUUGUUACAUAAGGUAAGUAUUGUAUAAUAGUUCGGUUUUCCGCGAUUUUUUCCAUUCCUCUGUGUAAAUAGCCUAAUAUGGGUUCACAAUCAAUAACAUCCUCACCAUCGAGAGUAACGAUCAGUCGAAGAACACCAUGCAUUGAUGGGUGUUGAGGGCCCAUAUUGACUAUCAUGAGAUCUUUUCUUGUAAGCGGUAGACUCAUAUCCUUUCUUCCUUAAUUCAUUAUUCCAUGAAAAUGGAUUAUGCCAUGAAUUCCUCAAAGCGAGGCUCAUCAAAAUGAAAAAUCUAAGACUACUAUAAGACUACUAAAAAAAUAAUAAAACAAGAAAAAAAUUUGAACGAUUAAAUUACUGCUCCCGAAUAUUCAACUGACCGAUUAAUUUCUUAUAACGUACUCUAUUUUUCUUUGCCAAAUAAGCCAGCAAACGUCGACGUUUUCCCAAAAGUCUUCGUAGACCUCUUUCCGAUGAAAAAUCUUUUUUGUGUAAUUCCAAAUGUGAAGCAAGUCUCCGUAUCUUAUUGGUGAAACUGAAUACUUGAAAUUCAACAGAACCCCUGUUUUCUUCUUUUUCUUCUUUAACCAUAAAUCCAAAAAUUUUUCUACCUCCUUUCUUUUUCAUGUAUUUUUCUGAUCAGGAAAAAUACAAAAUUAUGUCAGUUAUUUUGAAGUUAUUCUAAUCCCGUGAAAUUCUCGAGCCAAAAGAUGGAUGCAUAUGCUGUGUUUCAUUUUGCUAAAUGAUAUCAAUUAAAUGGUGUAUCAAUUCCAUAAAUUGCAUAUAGCAAUAAAUAAAUCAGCAAAAUUCUUUCUAAUAUUUUAGAUAGAAGAAAUGUUUCUUCUAUCUAAAAUAUUAGAAAGAAUGUACCCUUCUAUCCAAAUCCAAUUUGCAUCGAUAAAAUAAAUCCAAAUUCCAGUAGUAGAUGAAUAAUUGCAAAUUUGUGUGUGUACGAGAUUAGAAUAACUUCAAAAUAACUGACAUAAUUUUGUAUUUUUCCUGAUCAGAAAAAUACAUGAAAAAGAAAGGAGGUAGAAAAAUUUUUGGAUUUAUGGUUAAAGAAGAAAAAGAAGAAAACAGGGGUUCUGUUGAAUUUCAAGUAUUCAGUUUCACCAAUAAGAUACGGAGACUUGCUUCACAUUUGGAAUUACACAAUAAAGAUUUUUCAUCGGAAAGAGGUCUACGAAGACUUUUGGGAAAACGUCGACGUUUGCUGGCUUAUUUGGCAAAGAAAAAUAGAGUACGUUAUAAGAAAUUAAUCGGUCAGUUGAAUAUUCGGGAGCAGUAAUUUAAUCGUUCAAAUUUUUUUCUUGUUUUAUUAUUUUUUUAGUAGUCUUAUAGUAGUCUUAGAUUUUUCAUUUUGAUGAGCCUCGCUUUGAGGAAUUCAUGGAAUAAUCCAUUUUCAUGGAAUAAUGAAUUAAGGAAGAAAGGAUAUGAGUCUACCGCUUACAAGAAAAGAUCUCAUGAUAGUCAAUAUGGGCCCUCAACACCCAUCAAUGCAUGGUGUUCUUCGACUGAUCGUUACUCUCGAUGGUGAGGAUGUUAUUGAUUGUGAACCCAUAUUAGGCUAUUUACACAGAGGAAUGGAAAAAAUCGCGGAAAACCGAACUAUUAUACAAUACUUACCUUAUGUAAUAAGGAUAUAGAGAGAUUGUAGAAAGGGAUAGGAUAGUUAUUUUUGCAAGAGACUUGUUGUAAAUUCCUUAACUUAAGAAAGAAAAAAGAAUAAAAACACAGAUACAUAACAUAAAAAAAAGAAUAAAUAAGACGAGAUUCGACCUCCCCCUACAUAUUUAAUUUCUUCUCCUAUACAAAAACUAGCAAGACCCACUCCAUUGGUAAUUCCAUCAAUAACACCCUUAUCAAAAAACUCCGUUAGUUCGGUUAACCCUCUUAUACCGAGGGUAAAGACCCUAGUAUAGAAAAUAUCUAUAUAACCACGAUUAUAUGACCAACUGUAUAUAUUUUUUUUUAUGUUAUGUAUCUGUGUUUUUAUUCUUUUUUCUUUCUUAAGUUAAGGAAUUUACAACAAGUCUCUUGCAAAAAUAACUAUCCUAUCCCUUUCUACAAUCUCUCUAUAUCCUUGUUACAUAAGGUAAGUAUUGUAUAAUAGUUCGGUUUUCCGCGAUUUUUUCCAUUCCUCUGUGUAAAUAGCCUAAUAUGGGUUCACAAUCAAUAACAUCCUCACCAUCGAGAGUAACGAUCAGUCGAAGAACACCAUGCAUUGAUGGGUGUUGAGGGCCCAUAUUGACUAUCAUGAGAUCUUUUCUUGUAAGCGGUAGACUCAUAUCCUUUCUUCCUUAAUUCAUUAUUCCAUGAAAAUGGAUUAUUCCAUGGAUUCCUCAAAGCGAGGCUCAUCAAAAUGAAAAAUCUAAGACUACUAUAAGACUACUAAAAAAAUAAUAAAACAAGAAAAAAAUUUGAACGAUUAAAUUACUGCUCCCGAAUAUUCAACUGACCGAUUAAUUUCUUAUAACGUACUCUAUUUUUCUUUGCCAAAUAAGCCAGCAAACGUCGACGUUUUCCCAAAAGUCUUCGUAGACCUCUUUCCGAUGAAAAAUCUUUUUUGUGUAAUUCCAAAUGUGAAGCAAGUCUCCGUAUCUUAUUGGUGAAACUGAAUACUUGAAAUUCAACAGAACCCCUGUUUUCUUCUUUUUCUUCUUUAACCAUAAAUCCAAAAAAAUUUCUACCUCCUUUCUUUUUCAUGUAUUUUUCUGAUCAGGAAAAAUACAAAAUUAUGUCAG
rnacentral:lncRNA from 1 species